GACGAACGCUGGCGGCGUGCCUAAUACAUGCAAGUCGAGCGAAGUUUUUCUGGUGCUUGCACCGGAAAAACUUAGCGGCGAACGGGUGAGUAACACGUAAAGAACCUGCCUCAUAGACUGGGACAACUAUUGGAAACGAUAGCUAAUACCGGAUAACAGCAUUAACUGCAUGGUUGAUGUUUAAAAGUUGGUUUUGCUAACACUAUGAGAUGGCUUUGCGGUGCAUUAGCUAGUUGGUGGGGUUAAGGCCUACCAAGGCGACGAUGCAUAGCCGACCUGAGAGGGUGAUCGGCCACACUGGGACUGAGACACGGCCCAGACUCCUACGGGAGGCAGCAGUAGGGAAUCUUCCGCAAUGGGCGAAAGCCUGACGGAGCAACGCCGCGUGAGUGAAGAAGGAUUUCGGUUCGUAAAGCUCUGUUGUUAGGGAAGAAUGAUUGUGUAGUAACUAUACACAGUAGAGACGGUACCUAACCAGAAAGCCACGGCUAACUACGUG
rnacentral:rRNA from 1 species